rnacentral:rRNA from 1 species
UUCGCCCUUAGAGUUUGAUUCUGGGUUCAGGAAGGAACGCUGGGGGCAUGCCUAACCCAUGCAAUUCGAACGAAAGUAGCAAAUACUUUAGGGGCGAACGGGGGGAUAACCACGUGAGCAACCUGCCUCAUACCACUGGAAUAACAGUUGGAAACGACUGUUAAUACCGGAUAAGACCACACUGUGGCAUCACAGAGGGGUCAAAGUGAAUUAGCGGUAUGAGAUGGGCUCGCGUCCAAUUAGCUAGUUGGUGGGGUAACGGCCCACCAAGGCGACGAUUGGUAGCCGACUUGAGAGAGUGAUCGGCCACACUGGAACUGAGACACGGUCCAGACUCCUACGGGAGGCAGCAGUGGGGAAUAUUGGGCAAUGGAGGAAACUCUUACCCAGCAAUGCCGCGUGAGUGAUGAAGGUCUUUGGAUUGUAAAGCUCUUUGAUUGGGGAAGAAAGCAAUGACGGUACCCAAAGAACAAGCCCCGGCUAACUAUGUGCCAGCAGCCGCGGUAAUACAUAGGGGGCAAGCGUUGUCCGGAAUGACUGGGCGUAAAGGGUGUGUAGGCGGUUUAUUAAGUUAGAAGUGUAAUACCCAGGGCUUAACUCGGGUGCUGCUUCUAAAACUGGUGAACUUGAGUGUAGGAGAGGAUGAUGGAAUUCCUAGUGUAGCGGUGGAAUGCGCAGAUAUUAGGAGGAACACCAGAGGCGAAAGCGAUCAUCUGGACUACAACUGACGCUGAGGCACGAAAGCGUGGGGAGCAAACAGGAUUAGAUGCCCUGGUAGUCCACGCCGUAAACGAUAAAUACUAGGUGUGGGGGGUAUCGACUCCUUCCGUACCGUAGCAAACGCAAUA